UAGACAGUGAGUGUCUACGGGGAACAUGA
rnacentral:piRNA from 1 species